UACGAAGGGGGCUAGCGUUGCUCGGAAUCAUUGGGCGUAAAGCGCACGUAGGCGGCUUGCCAAGUCGGACGUGAAAUCCCUCAGCUCAACUGAGGACGUGCAUCCGAAACUGGCGAGCUUGAGUACUGAAGAGGAUCGCGGAAUUCCCGGUGUAGAGGUGAAAUUCGUAGAUAUCGGGAGGAACACCAGUGGCGAAGGCGGCGAUCUGGGCAGAUACUGACGCUGAGGUGCGAAAGCGUGGGGAGCAAACAGGG
rnacentral:rRNA from 1 species